rnacentral:rRNA from 1 species
UACGUAGGGUGCGAGCGUUAAUCGGAAUUACUGGGCGUAAAGCGUGCGCAGGCGGUUCUCCAAGUCCGUUGUGAAAGCCCCGGGCUCAACCUGGGAAUGGCAGUGGAAACUAGGGGACUGGAAUCUGGCAGAGGGGGGUGGAAUGCCGCGUGUAGCAGUGAAAUGCGUAGAGAUGCGGCGGAACACCGACGGCGUAGGCAGCGCCCUGGCUGUGAAUAAAGCUGACACUGAGGCACGAAAGCUGGGGGAGCAAACAGG